CAGAAGAGGGAAGAAGCAGACCUCCAAGGAUGGGAGUGAACUCUCGGAAGAAGAGAAGAGAAAGGAGGCAAUGUGGAUGGACAGAACAGAGCAAAGUCGAUCAGUAACAUGAGAGAUGAUAAGAGACAUCAAGAAUCAUGUUGUAGAAUCUGCGGAAUAUUCCAAUGGCGAUGAGUUGGUUUCCUCCGAGGUGAUUUCUCCAAGACCUAUCGCAGCGUGGUUGCCCGAUCAGCACAGGGGGGAAUGGGACCCGAUGACAUGCUGAAGGCUUUCGAUACGUGGUGUCACACCAGGGGGCGGUGGGUUGGUCCACCACGUCGAUCGCCGGUGGGACGGAUCACCUAAUGACGAGUUCUCUAAGAAGCAUUAGAGAGAUGACAACAGAUUACGAGUUUUUCGUUUUUUGCAGGUACAGCGAGAACUGAGAAUAAAUCUUCACUUAUUGGUCGUUAAAAGUAGAUCAUUAUAAGUCGUCUUCUCCACACGGAAGUGGCUGUCAUGGAACGACAACCUGAAUGGCUCUUCUCAUGCUUGCAGAAACAAAAUACGAGAACAUAACAUGAUUGAUGAUUAGGGCAGGAAGACCGGAAGAGGUAAUUUAAGGGCAGUGGUGUGGGACAUGUAACGAAGACUUGUUGUUGAUAUGCAUGCGGAAGAGGAGACUUCCUGGCACCUUAUAUAAGCGGACAAACAAUAAGAAGGUUGUCUUAUGAUUGUUAACAUUCGCAUUUGGCCCAAAAAGUCUCACCGCCUCGCAUCAGAGGUUGGGAAUCUAUCACGUCUGUGUGAGUUUCUAAUGCAAGUUGUAGCAGAUAACUUCGAUUAGCAGAGAGUUGGCCAACGUGUAAUGUCAUCUCGAAAGCCUUAGCUCAUA